ACCAGCUUCUGCAAAGCCCAGCUAGGAGCUCAAGUGUUCUGUUCCCCCAGCUGUCAAUCAGAGUAGGGAGGGCAUGAAGGAGACAUAGGAGAUAGAUUCAUGAAGAAUACUUGUUACUUUUAUAUGUGAUCUGCAACUUUAAGAAUUUUUUUUCCUGAUAAUACCAAAAUGAAUUCAUCAAAAGAUAGCCUAAUGAUGAGACUUUUCUGCCACUUUGCUGUUAUUAGACUCCAGGGAGUAAAUGUCUCUCAUUAUUAUAAAGAGGGAAAUUAUGAGCUUUUUCUCCAUGAGCUAUAAGACAAUCUUAUCUUCAUUUUCAUUCUUCCAGGUGGUUAUGUUGAACAUGUAAAUAUUCUCCCUGCUGUGAGUAUUACUGCAGCUGGCCAAAGAUGCUUUAUUUUAAAGAUGUGGAUGCAGGAAGUUAAAAGCAUCAGAAACACUGCAUGGGAAAAUCAUUCGAACUGUAGCUUCCUGGUUUUAGACAUCCCCGUGGGCAAUUGGGACAUCUAUUUUGGAGAUGUAAUUGAAAAGACUGAAGAAUGCACUGAGGACCUUCUGGCUGAUAGAAGCUGACAAAGAAGCCAAGAUAGUUUGGUCAAGAUUUCUGCAAUACCUGAGUUUCUAAUCACAACAACAAAAAUGACAUUUAUUUCCAAGAUAGUUUGGUCAAGAUUUCUGCAAUACCUGAGUUUCUAAUCACAACAACAAAAAUGACAUUUAUUUCCUAUUGACCCAAACAGUGGCAACGUUUUAGUCAAGGUGAUUUAGAGGAGGUUAGAAAGAGAGGUGGAUGCUUGGGCCAUAUUGAAGGCAGAAAAUGGGUUAUUCUGCCGUUAGCUUUA
rnacentral:lncRNA from 1 species